GGCAGCAGUGAGGGAUAUUGCACAAUGGGCGAAAGCCUGAUGCAGCAACGCCGCGUGAGGGAAGACGGUCUUCGGAUUGUAGACCUCUGUCUUCGGUGACGAACAAAUGACGGUAGCCGGGGAGGAAGCCACGGCUAACUACGUGCCAGCAGCCGCGGUAAUACGUAGGUGGCGAGCGUUGUCCGGAAUUACUGGGUGUAAAGGGGGCGCA
rnacentral:rRNA from 1 species